AGGUACUAGGCGUGCCAUGUGCAGGCUCUUGCAGCCCAGCUGUUGCCCUGGCAGCUCCAUGACCACACCUCUGUGCCCAGACAUGGAUCAGAACUGGGAGAAAAAGAGAAGGUGGUACCUUCUAUCCCCUUCACCCUGGGUCUUUCAGGAUCUGCCCCAAGGAGCAGAAAACGGGUGCGCCCAGAGCAGCUUACUCAGGAGACGCUUGCUGUAUGUAUGGCCUGGGACAACUGUAAGAGCCCUGAGGGCACAGAGUAUGGGCAACAGGUGAUAGCAAAUCAAGGAGCAUAUUUAGCAAUGCCUGUGCUACCUAGCAAUGAGAAAUCUAUGAAAAUAGCGACACCACAGGAAUAGGGACUGCAGAGUGGGAAGAAAUGAGGGGUGACCAUGUUGAAGAAACUGUGUUUCGGCAGAGGAGAGAGCAGAGCAAUGGGGUGAGGUGGGAAUGCUUUUGGGUGGGCUUCAGAAGCAGUGAGGUCAGUGUGGCUGUCGUGAGGUGUGGAGAGUUGGGGAAGAGGAAAGGGGGUACCUGAGUUACCUGGGGCCACGUCACGUAGGGCCUGGUGGGCUGUGGUAGGGACUUGGGAUGUUUCUCUAAGUGCAGAAGAUUUUGAGCUGGGGAGAUGUGAUUGGAUUUAUGUUGUAGGGGCAAUAGAGACUAGGGAAUUGAACAGGAAGCAGGGAGGCCAGGAGGUGGCAGCUGUAGAGGUCUGGAGGCUUGGAUGUAACCAGGAGGGUUGGACAGAGCUACAGGUCAGACUGGGUCCACAUUUCAAAGGGGAUCUUAAAGGCUGUGAGAGGGACUAUUACAUGCCACCAAUAUUGAUUGUGCUCCUACCAUCAGGAUACAGAGAUGAGACAGUGAUUCCUGUCCUCAAGGAGGUUACAUUCGCAUGGGGAGAGACACAUAGCAAAAGAGACCACCAAGGCAAGUCCGCCGAGAGAUGAUGAGAGCCCAGAGGGCAUAUCACUAAGAGAAGGCCAGGAAUGAUCUCACGGAGCAAAUGGCAAUUGGCUUGAGUUUUGAGGAAGUAGAAGUUUGGUCAACAGGUAGGAAGCUGAGUAGGAAGGGAAUUUCUGGCAAAGGCACAGUUGCUGGUUCAGUGGCAUCGUUCCCUCUGGGGAAUCUGGGAAGACUGUGCCUGACUGUGGUUCCUGAUGGGAUUGCUGGUAACUGGCUCCAGAAAGAUUAUUUGGUGGAUAAAAAAAAAAUGCAGGAUAUAUUUGGAAAACUACAAGUUAGCCUCUAAGCUGGCAAUGUGAUGAGGGCAUGGCAGGGUGCCUCUAGGUUCUCUACAGUAAUGGGGCUCUGAAGAGAAAUUGAGGGGACUGUGAAGCUGUGUUUGCACAGUUCUCUGCAUAAGAUUUGGAAACAGCUGACAAUGCGCAUUAAAGAAUGAGGGUGCUGCUAAUGGAGGUCAUGAGAGUCACCACUCCCUAAACUUGCUCCUUGGCCCCCUCUUUGAGCUUGGAGGUAAAUCUGUGGAGGCUAAGGUUGGGUGGGGCAGUGUAUGUCCUGUUAAUGAGUUAGGACCACAACAAACAGGGAGCUCUUGAUGGGGUUCCUGAAGGUGAGUGAGAAGCUCAGGUGAGUCCUCUAGGGAGUUCACUCUGGAGUGUUGAGGGAGACAGAGUAGACAGGACAAGACAGCAGCUGAGGAAGAGGAUGGCUAGAAGGCUGUUGCAAAAUUCCACUAUGAUCUUCCCUUUGUAAAACCUUCUUUGGAACACACCCCAGAAUACACUGGAAAAUUCAGAAAGGUGGACAAUGGAGAAAGGACAGGAAGCAAGUCCCAGAAUCCACAGCAGCUCCCCAGCACCCCGGGCAAGCACUACCUCCCUGCCAAGGUUCAAGUGGGGCUCUCUUGGCAGCCUCCAUAGGAACUGGCCCGGGGCGAGUUCCCGGGGUAAAAGGUGCAACCUGGGUGUGGGCCGGUUUCCUUGUGAAGGCUGUGGCUUCCCCUCAGGCUCACCCUUGCUGAUGCUGAGUAAUCUGCAGGCUGCAAUCUGCCCGUGAAAGAACUCUUGCAACACAUUGUGUGAGGAUCCCAGGCUGCCCUGUCCUUCCCUGGGAAUCAGGUCAAGAGCCCUGCUGGCAGGUGUCCUAGAGCAUGAAUCAGGCCCCUGGCAAGGAGAAGGCGGGAGAUCUUGGCUGAGAUCAGUGGAAUACUGAGCCUCCAGCUUGUGUGUCAUAUGUGUGGACUUUUCAGCAUAUUCUUCUCUGGCCCAGAAGUCUGGAUUCUUCUUGUCUGUUGCAAUAAUAUAAAGUUAUUCAGAGCUGUACAUGAAGAGAAGUCCCACAGGGACCCUGGGAUCAGAAGAACUCUGGGAAAUGCCUGGCCCAGCCAGUGCUGUUCUAAAGAUCCUCAUCCUCAUGGAGAUAACCAUUUUUAAGGAAGAAAAGAGGAUCUGGACCCUACCCAUCUCAGUCUCCAUCAGAUCUUAUGGAUGCUCCAGGAAUUGGCCAUGAUUCUCCUCUUUUCUACCAUCUUGUAUGUUGGGCUUUGUAGAGGAUAGAUGUUUUCUAGAAGAAUGGCAGAUAAGGCAAGGUCUGCAGCUUGCCAUUGAUAGUGUCUUUAUCAACAGAUCUGUGAGGAAUUGUGCAGCUGAGAGGGGAGAAGAGAAAUCAGAGAGUGGAUGGACUGCCACAGUUCAACAUAUACUGGUGCUUUCAAUAUAGAAUCCACAAGGCAACCUGCAUGCUGGGCUCUGUGCUAGGCACUAGGGGUAUAUCUAUGAGAUGCCACCCCAGCUCCCACAGUCUUACAAUCUAAUGGGGAAGAGAGAUAUGUCAAUAGACAAACGCAGCAGAUGGCAAGUGCUGGGAUAUGAAACAGUAAGCAGAAGCCACAGUGUUCUCUGGGACUUCUGAGCUGAGUCCCAAAGUAAUUAGAUUAAUCCGUCAUGGGAGGUGGAGUGGGUAGGGGGAGCUCCUGGAAGCAUGAUCAAAAGUGGAGAGCUAAGGUGAGGGAGAAGAAAGAAAUGAGAUUCAGCAAAGAGGAGGAGAGCAAUGAAGGGCCAUGUAUGACCAGGCGAAGGCAAAUUGUUCGGACCAAACAUGACAGUAGGGUGGGUUUUUGAGGGGUAUCCACUGCACUUACAGAGGCAAGAUUCUCUAUGGUGACCUUUCAGUGAGGGUGGGCAAAUACACUACUUUUUGAGUCAGCCAUUUUUCACUACUGAGCACCUCUGGCCUUAGCAAGUUCUGAGCAUGAAUACUUUCUUCUGUUUCUAAGCCAUUCAACAAAUAUCAAAGUGCUUUCCCAUGUAUUGGUCAUCUUAGGCAAACUGGGUGGACAUGUAGAGCAAGACGUAAUGAGGUAAGCACUCACUAGAGCUAGGUCAUCUUAGAAAAGUCACUUAGCUUCACUGAGCCUCAGUCUUCCUAUCUGUGAAAUGGGGAUAAUGACCCUUAUGUCACCUGGUGGGCAAGGUCUAAAUAAAAUCAUUGUAGUUAGAUCCAUAGUAGGUUCUUUCUGACCUACCACUGUGCACCUCACGCCGUUGCUAUUCCAGUGGGAUAUAUCCAGUGGGGUUACGGGUAUGACAUUUCGGAACCCCACCAUCACUUGUAUCAGCAGGUCUGUCCUAGGUUCCCCAACUAAGCUUCCUGGAUGAGGCACCUAGUGGCGUCCCCUAGUUUGAGUGUGGGGGGUUUGGUAAACUAGUCCUUAUGUAUGCUUGUCAGAUGGAGGGUACUGUCUUUAAGAUGGGCUCAUAGCUGAAUCUGGAAGGUAAGUGCUCCAGGCCAGUAUUGUUUUCUGCAGGAUUCAAAGUUCCCUUGCUAUUUCUGCUGACUUUGCUUCCCCUCUCGUGUUCUAUAUCCCAAACCUAUUAUCUUCACCAGCGUUAAUUUGCCUCCACAACUCUGUUUUUGCAUUUUGAAAUGGAAUUUCCCUUAACCUAUAUUCCUCUGGUUCCCAAACUCCACCUGCUUCAGUUUUUUUUUCAAUAUCAUCUACAUUUCCUUCACUAGAUUAUAGCCUUAGUCAUUUGUACCCUUAGAAUGAAUAUUUUUUUCUGUCAUAUCUUUGUUUGAACCUUUUCACAUUUGACUUCAGACAUUACCCAUCUCCUUCAUCUGACCACUUUCUUCACUUUUCUCAUCUUUCCAUUUUGGUUGUAUGUCUACUGAGCAAGGGGCUCUGUGCAGAGCAUUCAAAGAUGACUGAGAUGUAGUCUUGUGGGUAGAGAGAGACAAUUAGAAUGCACCGUGGAGAGUGUUAGGUUGAGGGAAGCGGAGAUUACAGGAGUCCAAAUGUCUUAUCCGAGGAUAUGGGAUAGGCUUGAGAGAAGAUGCUGAGCUCAUGUAGGUGAGGUAUUGUCCUACGUGAAGGAAAAGAGGCAGGAGAUGGCAGCUUGGAGGCUAUAUUACUUUCUCUGGGGCUGCCAUACCAAAGUACCACAAACUGGGUGGCUUAAAACAUCAAAAAUGUAUUUUCUCACAGUUCUAGAAGGUAGAAGCCCAAAAUCAAGAUGUUGGCCCUACAGCUGUGCUCCUUCUGAAGGCUUUGGGGUGAAUGUGUUUAAUGCCCUUUUCUUAGCUUCUGCCCUUUUCUUUUCUGGCCUUCACAGAAGGCCAAAGAGCAAUCCUUGGCCUUCCUUGGCUUGUGGAUGCAUCGUUUCAGUCUCUGCCUCUGUUUUCACAUGGCCCUCUUCCCUGUGUAUCUGUCUCUACGCUGCUUCUCAUCUUAUAAGGACACAAGUCAGAUUGGAAUAAAGCCUAUUCUAAUUCAGUAUAAUCACAUCUUAACUUGAUUAUGUAUGCAAAGACCAUAUUUCCAAAUAAGGUCACAUUUUCAGGUCCUCGGGGUUAGAGCUUUCACAUGUCUUUUUGGGGGACAUAGUUCAACUCAUAAUAGAAACCUCGCAGAUAAAUCAUUUUGGCCGGUGCACAGAGUUAAGUGGUGGAUUAUCAAGAAUAUGGAAUUUUAGAAUUUUAGCUUCUUGGUUGAUUUUUGGGAAUUAACAUACAGGAGAGCAGGUUUAGAAGUAACAAUAACACUUUGAGAGGCCGAGGUGGGCAGAUCAUGAGGUCAGGAGAUCGAGACCAUCCUGGCUAACAUGGUGAAACCCCGUCUCCACUAAAAAUACAAAAAUUAGCCGGGCAUGGUGGCAGGUGCCUGUAGUCCCAGCUACUCAGAAGGCUGAGGCAGCAGAAUGGCAUGAACCCGGGAGGCGGAGGUUGCAGUGAGCCGAGAUCGUGCCACUGCACUCCAGCUGGGGAGACAGAGUGAGACUCUGUCUCAUAAAAAAAAGAAGUGACAAUAACAAUAACAGAGGCUGGUCUUCUGGGAAUGAUGCGAUACUCUUCAGCCAGCCUUUCUGUUUUGAGCGAAGCCCCAACCUGGAGUUCAAAGAGAGUGAGGGCGCUUCCUGUCUUCUUGUCUUUCUCCUCUCUCCUGCUACUUGUUAUGAAAUUCAGAACAAUUAGAGAUUUUCUGUCUCAUCCCUGGAAUGGUGUUUCUCCUGCUGGCCCUAUCAGGCUGGUGUGUUGAUGUUAUCGGGGAGAGGCUGUAGUUACUAGGAUGAAGAAGGCAAGAGAGAAAUGGAAUUCACGCAGAUCAAACAUGUGUAAUCAGAAGACAUUACUGAGGCUUGAUGAUGCUGUUCAGGGUGUAUUUCCCUUGAAACGCUUCUUAAAAGACAGCAGCUUAAACAAAUGGGCAAGAUGAGAUUCACAGAGGUAACAUUUCAGAGAGAAUGUAGGUACAGCUAAGCAGAGCUAAGCAGUGACAGAAGGAGAAAGUGUGUCUGAAGAAAAAUCUUCAUUACAGAUUUGAAAGAAAAAAAACCCAUCAAAUCCCUCUGCCUUGUGGGUCUCACAGGAGGCAAACUUUCUUUACAAACUGUGUGUUUGUGUUUUGAGUGACUAAGAGUUCAGGGACAAGUUCAAACACACCUAAGUUCAAUUUAAAAGUAAAUGAGAUGACAUUGGAGGAAAUUUAUAAUAAAAUGUCACUCUUUACCUAACACCAUUUUCUCUGGAAUUCAAAAUAUCCAUUGUUUAAAAGUGACACAGUAACUACCAUCUAGUUUGCUGAAUGACCUUCUUUAUAGCGUCAUGGUAUUAGAAAUGGCUUCAGAAGGAAUCACUCAACUGCAUUUAUCUGGCAGGAGAAAAAUGCAGGUAGUAUUUAUUUUGGGGUGUGGUAGGGGAUGUCCCCUAGCAAGGAUCCUAGAAGUCAGUGUCAGGUAUGAGAACAAGAAACAUUCAUUUAUUGCAUGCAUACUCAUUGAGUCCCUACUAUGUAUUGGUAUUAUGUGGCAGUAUGAAUAUUCUCAUUUGUUAAAUAAAGAUACUUGAGUCUGCUUUCAGUGUUGUGGGUUUUGUUAUUAAGAGUAAUACAGUCAUGUGUUGCUUGAUCAUGGGGACUUGUUCUGAGAAAUGUGUUGUCAAGCAAUUCUGUCUUUGUGGGAACCUCGUAGAGAGUAGGGUACUUACAAAAACCUAGAUGGGAUAGCUUAAUACGCACCUAGGCUGUAGGGUAAAGCCCAUUGCUCCCAGGCUACAAACCUGUAGAGCAUGUUACUGACUGAAUACUGUAGGCAGUUGUAACAAAUCACUAGGCAACAGAAACUUUGCAGCUCUGUUAUUAUCUUAUGGCACCACUGUUGUGUAUGCAGUCUGUUGACCAAAACAUCAUGUGGUUCAUGAUCGUACUUAUAGUACUAAGUGCCAGGCAUUGAACUGUGCCAAGUGUCAGGGCUGAAUGAGCUCAUUCAAUUUUUCUAAUAAGUCUAUGAGGUAGUUACUGAUAUCGCCCCUGCUUUACAGAUGAGGAAACUGAGGCACAGAGAUAAGGAAUUUGGAUAAAUUUUUAUAACAGGUAGGAGAUAAGUGAUGAAGAGACACUGAAUGAUUGAAAACUCACUUGGUUUGAUUUGCUUAUGUGAAAAAUGGAUUUAAGGAAGGCAGCGGAUGCAAGCACGGAGGCAGGGAAACUGGUUGAUGUGUGGAUUGAGUGAGUUAAUGUGUGUCAAAUGCCUAGAAUGGUCACUACACAAGUAUUUGCUAUUGUUCUUAUUUUUGUUGUAAUCAGUCAGAAUGGUCUAAGUCAGUGGUCAGCAAACUUUUUUUAUGCAGAGCCAGAUAGAAAAUAAUUUAGGCUUUUUAUGCUCUUAGGUCUCUCUUGCAAUUACUCAAUUCUGCCCUUGUAGCAUGCAGGCAACCAUAGUCAAUGUGUAAAUAGGAACGAGCAUGGCUGCAUUCCAUUGCAUGUAGUUUAUAAAACUAUAGCCCACAGACUAUACUUUGCCAAUUCUUGGUCUAGACUAUGCUGUAGUUAUAAUUCCCAAACCCUAUUGGUU
rnacentral:lncRNA from 1 species